rnacentral:rRNA from 1 species
GACGAACGCUGGCGGCGUGCCUAAUACAUGCAAGUCGAACGAGAAUUGCUUACACCGAGUGCUUGCACUCACCGUAAGGAAUUCGAGUGGCGGACGGGUGAGUAACACGUGGGUAACCUGCCUAUCAGAGGGGGAUAACACUUGGAAACGGGUGCUAAUACCGCAUAACAUUGAAAGCGCAUGCUUUUCAAUUAAAAGGCGCUUCUGGUGUCACUGAUAGGUGGACCCGCGGCGUAUUAGCUAGUUGGUGGGGUAACGGCCUACCAAGGCAAUGAUACGUAGCCGAGUUGAGAGACUGAUCGGCCACAAUGGGACUGAGACACGGCCCAUACUCCUACGGGAGGCAGCAGUAGGGAAUCUUCCACAAUGGACGAAAGUCUGAUGGAGCAACGCCGCGUGAGUGAAGAAGGGUUUCGGCUCGUAAGCUCUGUUGGUAGUGAAGAAAG